rnacentral:rRNA from 1 species
AAGUCGUAACAAGGUCUCCGUUGGUGAACCAGCGGAGGGAUCAUUACUGAGUACUACACUCUCUACCCUUGUGAACUAUUAUACCUGUUGCUUCGGCGGCGCCCGCAAGGGUGCCCGCCGGUCUCAUCAGAAUCUCUGUUUUCGAACCCGACGAUACUUCUGAGUGUUCUUAGCGAACUGUCAAAACUUUUAACAACGGAUCUCUUGGCUCCAGCAUCGAUGAAGAACGCAGCGAAACGCGAUAUGUAAUGUGAAUUGCAGAAUUCAGUGAAUCAUCGAAUCUUUGAACGCACAUGGCGCCUUCCAGUAUCCUGGGAGGCAUGCCUGUCCGAGCGUCGUUUCAACCCUCGAGCCCCUGUGGCCCGGCGUUGGGGAUCUGCCACGGCAGGCCCCUAAAACCAGUGGCGGACCCGAAGGGCCCUCUCCUUUGCGCAGUAGCAUUCGCCUCGCAUCGGGAGUCCUCGGCGUCCUGCCUCUAAACCCCCACAAGCCCGCUUCGGCGGCACCAAGGUUGACCUCGGAUCAGGUAGGAAUACCCGCUGAACUUAA